ensembl:ncRNA Y37A1B.332 ncRNA
ACGCAACGUCUUAGACACUCGCGAGAAAGAGAGAGAGAGAGUGUGUGUGUUGACCCUUGAGACGCAGACACUUGUCUCUCUCUGUUCACCCUCUUCCGUUGUCUAUACGGAAUUCAAAUGAAAUUCAAGGGCACAUACGCCGCCCGACGUUUACGAUGAGAAGUAGGAGGACGGGGGAAAGAUGAAUGUGUAUUUC